AAUAUGGGACAAUGGGCGCAAGCCAUACCAUGCAAUGCCGCGUGAGUCAAGAAGAUCUUUGGAUUGUAAUGCACUGUAUUUUGGGAGGCAGGGCAGUUAACGAAUAACCAACUGUUUUGAUGUUAUCAAAAGAAUAAGCAACGGCUAACGUCGUGCCAGCAGCCGCGGUAAUACGAAGGGUGCAAGCGUUAAUCGGAAUUACUGGGCGUAAAGCGCGCGUAGGUGGUUCGUUAAGUUGGAAGUGAAAGCCCAGGGCUCAACCUGGGAAUUGCUUUGAAAACUGGCGAGCUAGAGUACGGUAGAAGGUGGUGGAAUUAGCUGAGUAGCGGUGAAAUGCGUUGGUAAGGGAAGGAACAUCAAAGGCGAAGGCGACCGCAUGGACUGAUACUGACGCUGAGGUGCGAAAGCGUGGGGAGCAAACAGG
rnacentral:rRNA from 1 species